UGGCGGACGGGUGAGUAACGCGUGGAAAACCUGCCGUAUACUGGGGGAUAACACUUAGAAAUAGGUGCUAAUACCGCAUAAGCGCACAGCUUCGCAUGAAGCGGUGUGAAAAACUCUGGUGGUAUACGAUGGUUCCGCGUCCGAUUAGCUAGUUGGUGGGGUAAUGGCCUACCAAGGCAACGAUCAGUAGCCGGCCUGAGAGGGUGAACGGCCACAUUGGGACUGAGACACGGCCCAAACUCCUACGGGAGGCAGCAG
rnacentral:rRNA from 1 species